CCUACGGGUGGCAGCAGUGGGGAAUAUUGGGCAAUGGGCGCAAGCCUGACCCAGCAACGCCGCGUGAAGGAAGAAGGCUCUCUGGUUGUAAACUUCUUUUCUGGGGGACGAAAAAAUGACGGUACCCCAUGAAUAAGCCACGGCUAACUACGUGCCAGCAGCCGCGGUAAUACGUAGGGGGCAAGCGUUAUCCGGGUUUAUUGGGUGUAAAGGGAGUGUAGGCGGGAAUGCAAGUCAGAUGUGAAAACUAUGGGCUCAACCCAUAGCCUGCAGUUGAAACUGUAUUUCUUGAGUGCUGGAGAGGCAAUCGGAAUGCCUGGUGUAGCGGUGAAAUGCGUAGAUAUCCGGAGGAACACCAGUGGCGAAGGCGGAUUGCUGGACAGUAACUGACGCUGAGGCGCGAAAGCGUGGGGAGCAAACAGGAUUAGAUACCCGGGUAGUC
rnacentral:rRNA from 1 species